CCCUUUCCUCUUCUCCCUUUCUUUGCCUUAGCAUGUUUCAGCCAAGAUCAAACAUCUCCAAAUUCUAUGGUUAAAUAUUUGUACUGUAAGAUCAUCAAAUCAUAUGGUUAACUAUUAAAUAUCUAAAAUUCAUCUCACCCCUAGCAAACCCUAAGGAAGCAAUCAAAUAUUGGUUGCUUCCUCCAACUUCUUAAAGAUGUGACCU
rnacentral:lncRNA from 1 species